AACAAGGCCUUUUUAAAGGCCAACUUUAGUAGUAAAAUGUCAAUU
rfam:Lucilia cuprina strain LS Scaffold72, whole genome shotgun sequence.